AGCAGCCGCGGUAAUUCCAGCUCCAAUAGCGUAUAUUAAAGUUGCUGCAGUUAAAAAGCUCGUAGUUGAAUUUCGGGACUGAUAUGUCGGUCGUGCCUCGGUACGUACUGGUAUUUUUGGUUUCUCCCUUCUGACGAACCUUGAUGUCAUUAAUUUGGUGUCUUGGGAAAUCAGGACUGUUACUUUGAAAAAAUUAGAGUGUUUAAAGCAGGCUCACGCUUGAAUACAUUAGCAUGGAAUAAUGAAAUAGGACGUUUGAUUCUAUUUUGUUGGUUUCUAGGAUCGACGUAAUGAUUAAUAGGGAUAGUUGGGGGCAUUAGUAUUCAAUUGUCAGAGGUGAAAUUCUUGGAUUUAUUGAAGACUAACUACUGCGAAAGCAUUUGCCAAGGAUGUUUUCAUUAAUCAAGAACGAAAGUUAGGGGAUCGAAGACGAUCAGAUACCGUCGUAGUCUUAACCAUAAACUAUGCCGACUAGGGAUCGGAUGAUGUUAAUUUUUUAAUGACUCA
rnacentral:rRNA from 2 species